AACGAACGCUGGCGGCAUGCCUAACACAUGCAAGUCGAACGAGACCUUCGGGUCUAGUGGCGCACGGGUGCGUAACGCGUGGGAACCUGCCCUUAGGUUCGGAAUAACUCCCCGAAAGGGGUGCUAAUACCGGCUAAUGUCUUCGGACCAAAGAUUUAUCGCCUUUGGAUGGGCCCGCGUUGGAUUAGCUAGUUGGUAGGGUAAAAGCCUACCAAGGCGACGAUCCAUAGCUGGUCAGAGAGGCUGAUCAGCCACACUGGGACUGAGACACGGCCCCGACUCCUACGGGAGGCAGCAGUGGGGAAUAUUGGACAAUGGGCGAAAGCCUGAUCCAGCAAUGCCGCGUGAGUGAUGAAGGCCUUAGGGUUGUAAAGCUCUUUUACCCGGGAUGAUAAUGACAGUACCGGGAGAAUAAGCACCGGCUAACUCCGUG
rnacentral:rRNA from 1 species